GAGGGUAUAGCUCAAGUGGUAGAGCACAUGCUUUAUAUGCACGAGGUCCUAGGUUCAAUUCCCAGUACCUCCA
rnacentral:tRNA from 1 species